rnacentral:lncRNA from 1 species
ACGCAUGCACGUGCACACGCACACAGGUGUGUGUACACCUCUACCCACCUAUGCAUGGCCAAACCCUAUUUUUUUUCUCAAAGCCUAAUUCAAUUGUCUUCUUGUCUAGGAAGACUUCUCACAUCUCACCUGACUAUAAUAGCUUUCUAAACUCUAUAGGGACCUUAUAUUUCUUUUCAUAUUUAGCAUAGAUUUGAGUCUAUUCUGUACACAUCAUCUUCCAGGGAGACGGAGUUUCUAGAGGCUGCCCAUGUGGGAUGCAUCCCUGAGCCUCUGGGGGUUGGUCUUACAGGCUACUCACAGUCACUGGAAGGUGGGUGUCACCCGCAGUCCUGAUCAUUGCUUAGAAAGAGGGAGGGAGGCAAUUAAGAGAGAAAGAAUGGGAACAAGAAGAGGAGGAAAGAUACGGUGAAAGGCGAAAAAAAGGCAGUUGGCAUUGAGAAUUCUUUGCCUUUUUUUUUUUUUUAGCUAUUUCUUGGGCCACUCCCGCGGCAUAUGGAGGUUCUCAGGCUAGGGGUCGAAUCGGAGCUGUAGCUGCCAGCCUACACCAGAGCCACAGCAACGCGGGAUCCGAGCCACGUCUGCAACCUACACCACAGCUCAUGGCAAUGCCGGAUCCUUAACCCACUGAGCAAGGGCAGGGACCAAACCCGCAACCUCAUGGUUCCUAGUUGGAUUCAUUAACCACUUCGCCACGACGGGAACUCUGGCAUUGAGAAUUCUAAACAGAACUGCUUGGUGUGACUCUGAAAAGUUCUGUUACGGAAUCCAAGCUCCCACUGCUCACCGCUCUACUACUGAGAGACGAAGCGUUAGGACAAGGAGUGGCAACUUUGUUUGGGAAGCCAGUAGAUCGAGAAGGUGGAAGACUGGUGUCCCAAAGAACCAUCUUUCCUGAAUCCGAAUUCAGGCUUUUUUUUUUUAUACUAAGGGAGGGGGGCAUGGUGAAGACAAACAUUUCCUGGUCCUGGCCAGACUCUGGAGAGGAUGUGUUCAUUUCUUCCUGCAGCCAUUCCCAGGUGGACCUGGUCAGGAUGUUUCCUGGGAGCUAAACGAAGACCUUUUAGCUCAAUGCUCAAUACAUGGGAGACAGGGUUCCCAGAGAUGGGCUAUUUUGUAUAAUUUAAGCUUACAGGCAAGAUCCCUUUAGCGAGAACUUGUAGCAAAAGCAAUAGAAUAAAAAGGUUAAAGGAGGAAAACAGGUCCAAUAUGGAGUAGGAGUUGCUCUUCGCAAUUACGGUUCCCUCCCCCAAGGGGUAAGAGUAAUAAUGUUUGCUGACUGCUCGCUAUUGACAGCCGCUCUUGUAAGUAAUUUGCAUAUAAGAAGCUUAUCUAAUCCACCAAUACCCUUGAGAGAGAAUUAGUAUUUCCUGCAACUUUAGGUGAGGACACAAAGGCACCAAGAGGUUAAUAUUUUCCCUAUGGUCCUGUAGGGGCCAGAUUUCAGAACUGGUGUUUGAGCCCAAGAAAUCUGAGACCACAGUCCAGGCUCUUAACACAGAAGGACCAAGACGACAGCAAGCCUGGCUGAAGGAGAUGAACAGCUCAGGUUCGAAGUUCCAAUCCCUACCCUGGAAGGAGUUAAGGAGAUGACAAAUCAGGGCGACAAUGCUGUGACCAACACAGGCCACCGUUCUGAACCACCAGGUAAUGAAGUCAUCCAUCUCUGUGAAAAGCCCCCCAGGGAUUUGUACAGGCAAGCGGUCCCCAGCCCUGGCUGCACAUAAGCAUCGCCUAGGGAGUUCUUACCAAGCCCUGUUGCCUGGGCCUCAUGCCAGGUUGACUGAAUCAGAACCUCUUGGGGUGGGGACUGGUAUCCAUAACUUUUUAGAGCUCCCUAGGGGAUUCGAACGUGCGGCCUGGACUGGGAACCAGGAUGCAGCUAAGUGUGAAGGGGCCAUGGCUGAGUGGAGAGCCAACCUGGCCCAGCAGGUGAAAUCCUUGCCUGUAGGCUGCUAAGACAUUUUCACAAAGGCUUUUCAGCCCACAAGCACCUGGAGGAGAGGCACCCUGGCCCCCACAAUUAUGCUGCCAUCAUCUCUGGCUCCUCUUGAAAGCGACAGCUGAGUCAUAGAAUCAGGGGGCUGGCUGGUACCCCACUGAUCAUUAUGCUUGGCGACAUUGCAAUGGUCUGCAGAAUUCUAGGCGUCUGGGUAAUGGCCAAAUCUCUACCUUC